rnacentral:rRNA from 1 species
UACAGGGGGGGCAAGCGUUGUUCGGAAUUACUGGGCGUAAAGGGCCAGUAGGCGGCCAACUAAGUCACACGUGAAAUCCCCAGGCUUAACCUGGGAACUGCGUCUGAUACUGGAUGGCUUGAAUCCGGGAGAGGGAUGCAGAAUUCCAGGUGUAGCGGUGAAAUGCGUAGAUAUCUGGAGGAAUACCGGUGGCGAAGGCGGCAUCCUGGACCGGCAUUGACGCUGAGGAGCGAAAGCCAGGGGAGCAAACGGG